UGCCAGACUCCUACGGGAGGCAGCAGUGGGGAAUAUUGCACAAUGGGGGAAACCCUGAUGCAGCGACGCCGCGUGAGUGAAGAAGUAUUUCGGUAUGUAAAGCUCUAUCAGCAGGGAAGAAGAAGGACGGUACCUGAGUAAGAAGCCCCGGCUAACUACGUGCCAGCAGCCGCGGUAAUACGUAGGGGGCAAGCGUUAUCCGGAUUCACUGGGUGUAAAGGGAGCGUAGACGGCGACGCAAGUCUGGAGUGAAAGCCCGGGGCCCAACCCCGGGACUGCUCUGGAAACUGCGUCGCUGGAGUACGGGAGGGGCAGGCGGAAUUCCUGGUGUAGCGGUGAAAUGCGUAGAUAUCAGGAGGAACACCGGCGGCGAAGGCGGCCUGCUGGACCGUGACUGACGUUGAGGCUCGAGAGCGUGGGGAGCAAACAGGAUUAGAUACCCCAGUAA
rnacentral:rRNA from 1 species